GACGUAGGUGGCGAACGUUAUCCGGAUUCAUUGGGCGUAAAGAGCGCGUAGGCGGUCCGGUAAGUCCGCUCUGAAAGUCCGGGGCUCAACCCCGGGAGGCGGGCGGAUACUGUCGGGCUAGAGUCCGGAAGAGGCGAGUGGAAUUCCUGGUGUAGCGGUGAAAUGCGCAGAUAUCAGGAGGAACACCAAUGGCGAAGGCAGCUCGCUGGGACGGUACUGACGCUGAGGCGCGAAAGCGUGGGGAGCAAACAGG
rnacentral:rRNA from 1 species